rnacentral:rRNA from 1 species
GUCUAUGGCCAUACCACCCUGAACGUACCCAAUCUCGUCUGAUCUUGGAAGCUAAGCAUGGUCAGGCCUGGUUAAUACUUGGAUGAGAGACUGCUUGGGAAUACCUGGUGCUGUAGGCU